rnacentral:rRNA from 1 species
AGAGUUUGAUCAUGGCUCAGAUUGAACGCUGGCGGCAUGCCUUACACAUGCAAGUCGAACGGCAGCACGAGAGCUUGCUCUUGGUGGCGAGUGGCGAACGGGUGAGUAAUAUAUCGGAACGUACCCUAGAGUGGGGGAUAACGUAGCGAAAGUUACGCUAAUACCGCAUACGAUCUACGGAUGAAAGUGGGGGAUCGCAAGACCUCAUGCUCAUGGAGCGGCCGAUAUCUGAUUAGCUAGUUGGUGGGGUAAAAGCUCACCAAGGCGACGAUCAGUAGCUGGUCUGAGAGGACGACCAGCCACACUGGAACUGAGACACGGUCCAGACUCCUACGGGAGGCAGCAGUGGGGAAUUUUGGACAAUGGGCGCAAGCCUGAUCCAGCAAUGCCGCGUGAGUGAAGAAGGCCUUCGGGUUGUAAAGCUCUUUUGUCAGGGAAGAAACGGUGGACUCUAAUACAGAUCACUAAUGACGGUACCUGAAGAAUAAGCACCGGCUAACUACGUGCCAGCAGCCGCGGUAAUACGUAGGGUGCAAGCGUUAAUCGGAAUUACUGGGCGUAAAGCGUGCGCAGGCGGUUGUGCAAGACAGAUGUGAAAUCCCCGGGCUCAACCUGGGAAUUGCAUUUGUGACUGCACGGCUAGAGUGUGUCAGAGGGGGGUAGAAUUCCACGUGUAGCAGUGAAAUGCGUAGAGAUGUGGAGGAAUACCGAUGGCGAAGGCAGCCCCCUGGGAUAACACUGACGCUCAUGCACGAAAGCGUGGGGAGCAAACAGGAUUAGAUACCCUGGUAGUCCACGCCCUAAACGAUGUCUACUAGUUGUCGGGUCUUAAUUGACUUGGUAACGCAGCUAACGCGUGAAGUAGACCGCCUGGGGAGUACGGUCGCAAGAUUAAAACUCAAAGGAAUUGACGGGGACCCGCACAAGCGGUGGAUGAUGUGGAUUAAUUCGAUGCAACGCGAAAAACCUUACCUACCCUUGACAUGUCUGGAAUCCUUGAGAGAUCAGGGAGUGCUCGAAAGAGAAUCAGAACACAGGUGCUGCAUGGCUGUCGUCAGCUAGUGUCGUGAGAUGUUGGGUUAAGUCCCGCAACGAGCGCAACCCUUGUCAUUAGUUGCUACGAAAGGGCACUCUAAUGAGACUGCCGGUGACAAACCGGAGGAAGGUGGGGAUGACGUCAAGUCCUCAUGGCCCUUAUGGGUAGGGCUUCACACGUCAUACAAUGGUACAUACAGAGGGCCGCCAACCCGCGAGGGGGAGCUAAUCCCAGAAAGUGUAUCGUAGUCCGGAUUGUAGUCUGCAACUCGACUACAUGAAGUUGGAAUCGCUAGUAAUCGCGGAUCAGCAUGCCGCGGUGAAUACGUUCCCGGGUCUUGUACACACCGCCCGUCACACCAUGGGAGCGGGUUUCACCAGAAGUGGGUAGCCUAACCGCAAGGAGGGCGCUCACCACGGUGGGAUUCGUGACUGGGGUGAAGUCGUAACAAGGUA